rnacentral:tRNA from 1 species
GGGGGUGUAGCACAAUUGGUUAGUGUACCGGACUGUCGAUCCGGAGGUUGCGAGUUCGAGCCUCGUCGCUCCCGCCA